GAGCUUGGCGGUGUUUUAGACCUCUCAGGGGAACCUGUCUCAUAAUCGACAAUCCACGUUAGACCUGACCCUUUAUGGCAAUUCAGCCUGUAUACCGUCGUCGUCAGGUAACUUCUUAAAAUAUAGUAGUUAGCCCGAUAAUUUUAUUAAUUAAUACGUCAGAUCAAGGUGCAGCUAAUAAAAGGGAGAGGAUGGGUUACAAUUAUAGAUUUAUAAUUACGAAGGAUAUUUAGAAAUAAAAUAUUUAAAGGAGGACUUGAAAGUAAUUUUGAUUAUAUAAGUAAAAUGAAUAAGGCUCUGAAACGUGCACACAUCGCCCGUCGCUCUCGUUGAAAAAUGAGAUAAGUCGUAACAUAGUAGGGGUAAUGGAAAUUGUUCCUAAGC
rnacentral:rRNA from 1 species